UACGAAGGGGGCUAGCGUUGCUCGGAAUUACUGGGCGUAAAGCGCACGUAGGCGGAUUGUUAAGUCGGGGGUGAAAUCCUGGAGCUCAACUCCAGAACUGCCUUCGAUACUGGCGAUCUCGAGUUCGGGAGAGGUGAGUGGAACUGCGAGUGUAGAGGUGAAAUUCGUAGAUAUUCGCAAGAACACCCGUGGCGAAGGCGGUUCUCUGGGACGGUACUGACGCUGAGACGCGAAAGCGUGGGGAGCGAACAGG
rnacentral:rRNA from 1 species